rnacentral:rRNA from 1 species
UGAGGAAUAUUGGUCAAUGGGCGAGAGCCUGAACCAGCCAAGUAGCGUGCAGGAUGACGGCCCUAUGGGUUGUAAACUGCUUUUAUGUGGGGAUAAAGUGAGCUACGUGUAGUUUAUUGCAGGUACCACAUGAAUAAGGACCGGCUAAUUCCGUGCCAGCAGCCGCGGUAAUACGGAAGGUCCAGGCGUUAUCCGGAUUUAUUGGGUUUAAAGGGAGCGUAGGCCGUGGAUUAAGCGUGUUGUGAAAUGUAGACGCUCAACGUCUGAAUUGCAGCGCGAACUGGUUCACUUGAGUAUGCACAACGUAGGCGGAAUUCGUCGUGUAGCGGUGAAAUGCUUAGAUAUGACGAAGAACUCCGAUUGCGAAGGCAGCUUACGGGAGCACAACUGACGCUGAAGCUCGAAGGUGCGGGUAUCAAACAGGAUUAGAUACCCUGGUAGUCCGCACAGUAAACGAUGGAUGCCCGUUGUUAGUUCACUUAUGAAUUAGCGACCAAGCGAAAGCAUUAAGCAUCCCACCUGGGGAGUACGCCGGCAACGGUG